CGACACAUGCUCGCUAGGGUAUCGCAUCCUAUGCAUACGUAUCUUCACGGACGAGAGAAGAAUCAGAGCAUUCGUAGCUCGGCUGACACGCACACAAACAAACACAGGCAAAGGCAAACGUGGAGCCCGAAUGCCAAUCACUGGACUUAUAUCAGCAUCCGAACCAAAACACACGCAAAGAGGCAAACGUGGAGCCCAAAUGCCAAUCACUGGACUUACAUUGACAUCCGAACCUAAACACACGAACACUGGAACCUAACUGCCACUCGAUGGACUUACAUUAGCUUCCAAGCACACAACAAAACAACAGGUUGAUAGGGAGUCGGGGACUCGAGCCUAUAACUGUCAAACACACACUCAAAACAAACAGACAACAGAUUGCUAAGGAGUCAGGCACUCGAGCCUAGCAACUGUCAGACAACACACACAAAAAGAAAAAAGGGCGCCCGGAGAGAUCAGCUCAAUCUCCUGCCUACAUACUUCAUCUGGUAUGAAGAUCAGGGCGAUGUAGUUCCCCUACGGAGGGAUAAAG
rnacentral:lncRNA from 1 species